rnacentral:lncRNA from 1 species
AUGCUGCCUCCUUUAACCUUAUUUGAAACAGGGCAAGGAAAACCUAAAAACAGAUGGGGUGUAAAAGCAGGCUUAUCUUCUUACUCUCGCUUGCUGUGUGUGCAGGCUUCCUCGGCCCUCCCUGUGCUGCUCUGCUCACCUCUGUACAGCGGUGACUGUGCUGGGUGCUCCAUGAGUAAAUUGCAUCAUAACUCAGCAGCAAGGAGGGAACCGGCAUUUGGCCUGGUGCUCACCUCAAAGCAGACACUCUGCAGAGCCUUCGUGAAUGGUGAAUGGGGCAGCUGGUGGAGGGAAAGCCGCAGACCUGCAUUGACAAGCUGACACACCGUGGGCUUUGGGGCAAGCCCCCCAGCCUCUCUCUCAGGGUCUCAGUUGUCCCCUCGGUGAAUGAGGAGGUUGGGCUGGCUCAUCCCUUACGGAUUCCCCCCCACCCACAGCUCCGAAGCAGGAAUGAAUGAAGGGCUAGUGUUCUCUCACUCAUGAAGCACCAGGAGCCUGCUUCCACGUUGCUUUGCUAAGAGUCCUGUGAGGCACCCAGGCAGCUAGCCAGCCCCAUGCCCCAUUUUACAGCUGAGAUUACAGAAGUUCAGAGAGGGGACAUGACUUGUCCGAAGUCACACAGCUAGCCAAUGAUAGGAUAGGGAUACAAACCCAGGAGUGACUCCCAUUCCACACCCAUCCCAGGUGUCCCACUGUCUCUGUCUCCCGUUUCUCAGCCCCCUUCCUCCCCUCUCCCCAAGGUGCCUGGCCUCUGGGCCGGGGACACUUUCGCAUAGUUGGGGGAGUGGGCUGGGCUGGCUCCUCUCAGGUAGCCCCCUCCACCAGCUGUUGUGUCACUAAAAAGCCACACCCGUUUCCCUCCCGCCUGCCCCCACCCGGAGCUCUGGAAUGAAGGGGAGAGUGAACCUGAGGGUGCUCUUUCACGGAGGAUGGGACCAGGCGCAGGGCCGGCAGGUUGAGCCAGUGGAGGCCUCGCCCUAGCCCAGUCUUCAGGAGGUUGCACGACCUUGGGACGGUUGCCCCUCUCGGUGGUCAGGCCGGCUCUGCCGAGUGAAGCCGGUCUCCAGGGGGAGAGCAGGUGCUGUUGGCUCUAGGCGAGGAUAACGAGCCCUCCUCACGCACCUUACCCCCUCAGAGUUACCAUCUGCCUGGCAGAUGCGCCUCCCAGGCCUCUGGGGCUGCCCCGGUGUCCCUCCCGGGACCGGGAGCUCGCUGCUCGCCACGGAAGCCACAGUCUCUCCCCAGGGCUCGAGGCUGUUGCUGGCAGGGAGGUCCCCCAGGGCGGAGGACUGCAGGCCCGGGGCGUCCCCAGAGGAGGAGG